UACAGAGGGUGCAAGCGUUAAUCGGAUUUACUGGGCGUAAAGCGUGCGUAGGCGGUUCGUUAAGUCGGAUGUGAAAGCCCUGGGCUCAACCUAGGAAUUGCAUUCGAUACUGAUGGACUAGAGAUCGGUAGAGGGCGGCGGAAUUCCGGGUGUAGCAGUGAAAUGCGUAGAUAUCCGGAGGAACACCGAUGGCGAAGGCAACCGCCUGGGUCUGAUCUGACGCUGAGGCACGAAAGCGUGGGGAGCAAACAGG
rnacentral:rRNA from 1 species